UCUCUGUGUGCAUAGGCAGACAAGAGUCUUUGGGUAAAUGUCAAAUCUUUUAUUAGAGCAACUAAAUAGUUGAAAAAAUUGUUCUUCACAAGCUUUCAGGUACAAACAUC